ACGGGUGAGUAAUGCCUAGGAAUCUGCCUAGUAGUGGGGGACAACGUUUCGAAAGGAACGCUAAUACCGCAUACGUCCUACGGGAGAAAGUGGGGGAUCUUCGGACCUCACGCUAUUAGAUGAGCCUAGGUCGGAUUAGCUAGUUGGUAGGGUAAAGGCCUACCAAGGCGACGAUCCGUAACUGGUCUGAGAGGAUGAUCAGUCACACUGGAACUGAGACACGGUCCAGACUCCUACGGGAGGCAGCAGUGGGGAAUAUUGGACAAUGGGCGAAAGCCUGAUCCAGCCAUGCCGCGUGUGUGAAGAAGGCCCUCGGGUCGUAAAGCACUUUAAGUUGGGAGGAAGGGCUCAUAGCGAAUACCUGUGAGUUUUGACGUUACCAACAGAAUAAGCACCGGCUAACUUCGUGCCAGCAGCCGCGGUAAUACGAAGGGUGCAAGCGUUAAUCGGAAUUACUGGGCGUAAAGCGCGCGUAGGUGGCUUGAUAAGUUGGAUGUGAAAUCCCCGGGCUCAACCUGGGAACUGCAUCCAAAACUGUCUGGCUAGAGUGCGGUAGAGGGUAGUGGAAUUUCCAGUGUAGCGGUGAAAUGCGUAGAUAUUGGAAGGAACACCAGUGGCGAAGGCGACUACCUGGACUGACACUGACACUGAGGUGCGAAA
rnacentral:rRNA from 1 species